rnacentral:tRNA from 1 species
AUCAGGGUGGCCGAGUGGUAUGGCGUCAGACUAAUGAUCUGACUCACGCUUGUGAACGUAGGUUCGAAUCCUGCUCCUGACG